rnacentral:rRNA from 1 species
GUCGUACGCUUCUUUUUCCGACGGAGCUUGCUCCACCGGAAAAAGAGGAGUGGCGAACGGGUGAGUAACACGUGGGUAACCUGCCCAUCAGAAGGGGAUAACACUUGGAAACAGGUGCUAAUACCGUAUAACAAUCGAAACCGCAUGGUUUUGAUUUGAAAGGCGCUUUCGGGUGUCGCUGAUGGAUGGACCCGCGGUGCAUUAGCUAGUUGGUGAGGUAACGGCUCACCAAGGCCACGAUGCAUAGCCGACCUGAGAGGGUGAUCGGCCACAUUGGGACUGAGACACGGCCCAAACUCCUACGGGAGGCAGCAGUAGGGAAUCUUCGGCAAUGGACGAAAGUCUGACCGAGCAACGCCGCGUGAGUGAAGAAGGUUUUCGGAUCGUAAAACUCUGUUGUUAGAGAAGAACAAGGAUGAGAGUAACUGUUCAUCCCUUGACGGUAUCUAACCAGAAAGCCACGGCUAACUACGUGCCAGCAGCCGCGGUAAUACGUAGGUGGCAAGCGUUGUCCGGAUUUAUUGGGCGUAAAGCGAGCGCAGGCGGUUUCUUAAGUCUGAUGUGAAAGCCCCCGGCUCAACCGGGGAGGGUCAUUGGAAACUGGGAGACUUGAGUGCAGAAGAGGAGAGUGGAAUUCCAUGUGUAGCGGUGAAAUGCGUAGAUAUAUGGAGGAACACCAGUGGCGAA